UACGUAGGGGGCAAGCGUUGUCCGGAAUUAUUGGGCGUAAAGCGCGUGUAGGCGGCUCGGUAAGUCUGCUGUGAAAGUCCAGGGCUCAACCUGGAAUGCCGGUGGAUACUGUCGAGCUCGAGUCCGGAAGAGGCGAGUGGAAUUCCUGGUGUAGCGGUGAAAUGCGCAGAUAUCAGGAGGAACACCAAUAGCGAAGGCAGCUCGCUGGGACGUUACUGACACUGAGGCGCGAAAGCGUGGGGAGCGAACAGG
rnacentral:rRNA from 1 species